rnacentral:rRNA from 1 species
UACGGAGGGUGCGAACGUUAAUCGGAAUCACUGGGCGUAAAGCGCGCGUAGGCGGUUUGCUAAGUGGGAUGUGAAAUCCCCGGGCUUAACCUGGGAAUUGCAUUUCAAACUGGCCGACUAGAGUACGGUAGAGGGAGGUAGAAUUUCCUGUGUAGCGGUGAAAUGCGUAGAUAUAGGAGGAACACCGGUGGCGAAGGCGGCUACCUGGACCGAUAUUGACGCUGAGACGCGAAAGCGUGGGGAGCAAACAGG